AGGUCAGCAGGGCAAAUUCCUGCCUGCUGGCCGGGCGGGGCCGAGGUGUCAGUCGUGCGGGGGCGGGGCUCCCAGGAGACCCCUGCUCGUGUCCCGAGGGGGGCCCCUGGGUGCUUCCCUGCCCAGCCUCGACCUGCGCUGGCCGCUCGGUCUUCUCUGAUUUCGAUCCUGCGUCUUUGAAGCUGCGGUGAAUUCCACACUGACCUCAUCUACUCUCCUGGUUUCGGGUGCCACCUGUGUGCUAAUAACAGUCAUGUUUACGACUCCUGAGUCCCAGCUCUCUCUAUACGUUCUGCCACUUCCUGGAAGUCUCUGCCUGGAGGUCCCCCAGGCAUGCCAAACUCUGUGCAUUCAAAAAAAAAAAAAACAAAAAAAAAAAACAAAAAAAAAAACAAAAACAAAACAAAACAAAAAAACCCAAAACCUAACACGUCAUCUUGCCCCAAUAACCUGGUCUCCUGUUUUGGUAAAUGGCACUGCCAUUCAAUCAGUGACCUAGGGCAGAAAAUUGGAGUUACCCUAAUUUUUUCCCUCUCCCUCACCCCAUAUAUCCAAAUACUUCUCAAGCCCUGCUCCCUUGCUUCCUCACAGGCCCGGUCAAGCUGCAUGCCCGGCCCCACUGCCCCUGCUGUGUUUCUGGCUGCACCAUCUCAAUAGAGAUGGCUGCGGAGCCUCUUAGAUGGUAUCCCCACCUUCAUCUCCCUCCUUGAAUCCCACUUCCUCUGGAGUGUGCUGGAGACAAUAUUUUAGAGCAUAAAUCUGACCAGGUAUCUCCUUCCAUGACUCCCAAAACACUGGAAUAAAGUCCAAAGUUUGUAAUUCUGCACAUGA